UAGACCCGAAACCCGGUGAUCUAGCCAUGGGCAGGUUGAAGGUUGGGUAACACUAACUGGAGGACCGAACCGACUAAUGUUGAAAAAUUAGCGGAUGACUUGUGGCUGGGGGUGAAAGGCCAAUCAAACCGGGAGAUAGCUGGUUCUCCCCGAAAGCUAUUUAGGUAGCGCCUCGUGAAUUCAUCUCCGGGGGUAGAGCACUGUUUCGGCAAGGGGGUCAUCCCGACUUACCAACCCGAUGCAAACUGCGAAUACCGGAGAAUGUUAUCACGGGAGACACACGGCGGGUGCUAACGUCCGUCGUGAAGAGGGAAACAACCCAGACCGCCAGCUAAGGUCCCAAAGUCAUGGUUAAGUGGGAAACGAUGUGGGAAGGCCCAGACAGCCAGGAUGUUGGCUUAGAAGCAGCCAUCAUUUAAAGAAAGCGUAAUAGCUCACUGGUCGAGUCGGCCUGCGCGGAAGAUGUAACGGGGCUAAACCAUG
rnacentral:rRNA from 1 species